rnacentral:rRNA from 1 species
UCCGUAGGUGAACCUGCGGAGGGAUCAUUACCGAGUUUACAACUCCCAACCCCUGUGAACAUACCACUUGUUGCCUCGGCGGAUCAGCCCGCUCCCGGUAAAACGGGACGGCCCGCCAGAGGACCCCUAAACUCUGUUUCUAUAUGUAACUUCUGAGUAAAACCAUAAAUAAAUCAAAACUUUCAACAACGGAUCUCUUGGUUCUGGCAUCGAUGAAGAACGCAGCAAAAUGCGAUAAGUAAUGUGAAUUGCAGAAUUCAGUGAAUCAUCGAAUCUUUGAACGCACAUUGCGCCCGCCAGUAUUCUGGCGGGCAUGCCUGUUCGAGCGUCAUUUCAACCCUCAAGCACAGCUUGGUGUUGGGACUCGCGUUAAUUCGCGUUCCUCAAAUUGAUUGGCGGUCACGUCGAGCUUCCAUAGCGUAGUAGUAAAACCCUCGUUACUGGUAAUCGUCGCGGCCACGCCGUUAAACCCCAACUUCUGAAUGUUGACCUCGGAUCAGGUAGGAAUACCCGCUGAACUUAAGCAUAUCAAUAAGCGGAGGAA